rnacentral:rRNA from 1 species
CAUAGGUUAAUGAGGCGAACCGGGGGAACUGAAACAUCUAAGUACCCCGAGGAAAAGAAAUCAACCGAGAUUCCCCCAGUAGCGGCGAGCGAACGGGGAGGAGCCCAGAGCCUGAAUCAGUGUGUGUGUUAGUGGAAGCGUCUGGAAAGGCGCGCGAUACAGGGUGACAGCCCCGUACACAAAAAUGCACAUGCUGUGAGCUCGAUGAGUAGGGCGGGACACGUGGUAUCCUGUCUGAAUAUGGGGGGACCAUCCUCCAAGGCUAAAUACUCCUGACUGACCGAUAGUGAACCAGUACCGUGAGGGAAAGGCGAAAAGAACCCCGGCGAGGGGAGUGAAAAAGAACCUGAAACCGUGUACGUACAAGCAGUGGGAGCACAGAGCAAUCUGUGUGACUGCGUACCUUUUGUAUAAUGGGUCAGCGACUUAUAUUCUGUAGCAAGGUUAACCGAAUAGGGGAGCCGAAGGGAAACCGAGUCUUAACUGGGCGUUAAGUUGCAGGGUAUAGACCCGAAACCCGGUGAUCUAGCCAUGGGCAGGUUGAAGGUUGGGUAACACUAACUGGAGGACCGAACCGACUAAUGUUGAAAAAUUAGCGGAUGACUUGUGGCUGGGGGUGAAAGGCCAAUCAAACCGGGAGAUAGCUGGUUCUCCCCGAAAGCUAUUUAGGUAGCGCCUCGUGAAUUCAUCUCCGGGGGUAGAGCACUGUUUCGGCAAGGGGGUCAUCCCGACUUACCAACCCGAUGCAAACUGCGAAUACCGGAGAAUGUUAUCACGGGAGACACACGGCGGGUGCUAACGUCCGUCGUGAAGAGGGAAACAACCCAGACCGCCAGCUAAGGUCCCAAAGUCAUGGUUAAGUGGGAAACGAUGUGGGAAGGCCCAGACAGCCAGGAUGUUGGCUUAGAAGCAGCCAUCAUUUAAAGAAAGCGUAAUAGCUCACUGGUCGAGUCGGCCUGCGCGGAAGAUGUAACGGGGCUAAACCAUGCACCGAAGCUGCGGCAGCGACACUGUGUGUUGUUGGGUAGGGGAGCGUUCUGUAAGCCUGUGAAGGUGUGCUGUGAGGCAUGCUGGAGGUAUCAGAAGUGCGAAUGCUGACAUAAGUAACGAUAAAGCGGGUGAAAAGCCCGCUCGCCGGAAGACCAAGGGUUCCUGUCCAACGUUAAUCGGGGCAGGGUGAGUCGACCCCUAAGGCGAGGCCGAAAGGCGUAGUCGAUGGGAAACAGGUUAAUAUUCCUGUACUUGGUGUUACUGCGAAGGGGGGACGGAGAAGGCUAUGUUGGCCGGGCGACGGUUGUCCCGGUUUAAGCGUGUAGGCUGGUUUUCCAGGCAAAUCCGGAAAAUCAAGGCUGAGGCGUGAUGACGAGGCACUACGGUGCUGAAGCAACAAAUGCCCUGCUUCCAGGAAAAGCCUCUAAGCAUCAGGUAACAUCAAAUCGUACCCCAAACCGACACAGGUGGUCAGGUAGAGAAUACCAAGGCGCUUGAGAGAACUCGGGUGAAGGAACUAGGCAAAAUGGUGCCGUAACUUCGGGAGAAGGCACGCUGAUAUGUAGGUGAAGUCCCUCGCGGAUGGAGCUGAAAUCAGUCGAAGAUACCAGCUGGCUGCAACUGUUUAUUAAAAACACAGCACUGUGCAAACACGAAAGUGGACGUAUACGGUGUGACGCCUGCCCGGUGCCGGAAGGUUAAUUGAUGGGGUCAGCGCAAGCGAAGCUCUUGAUCGAAGCCCCGGUAAACGGCGGCCGUAACUAUAACGGUCCUAAGGUAGCGAAAUUCCUUGUCGGGUAAGUUCCGACCUGCACGAAUGGCGUAAUGAUGGCCAGGCUGUCUCCACCCGAGACUCAGUGAAAUUGAACUCGCUGUGAAGAUGCAGUGUACCCGCGGCAAGACGGAAAGACCCCGUGAACCUUUACUAUAGCUUGACACUGAACAUUGAGCCUUGAUGUGUAGGAUAGGUGGGAGGCUUUGAAGUGUGGACGCCAGUCUGCAUGGAGCCGACCUUGAAAUACCACCCUUUAAUGUUUGAUGUUCUAACGUGGACCCGUGAUCCGGGUUGCGGACAGUGUCUGGUGGGUAGUUUGACUGGGGCGGUCUCCUCCUAAAGAGUAACGGAGGAGCACGAAGGUUGGCUAAUCCUGGUCGGACAUCAGGAGGUUAGUGCAAUGGCAUAAGCCAGCUUGACUGCGAGCGUGACGGCGCGAGCAGGUGCGAAAGCAGGUCAUAGUGAUCCGGUGGUUCUGAAUGGAAGGGCCAUCGCUCAACGGAUAAAAGGUACUCCGGGGAUAACAGGCUGAUACCGCCCAAGAGUUCAUAUCGACGGCGGUGUUUGGCACCUCGAUGUCGGCUCAUCACAUCCUGGGGCUGAAGUAGGUCCCAAGGGUAUGGCUGUUCGCCAUUUAAAGUGGUACGCGAGCUGGGUUUAGAACGUCGUGAGACAGUUCGGUCCCUAUCUGCCGUGGGCGCUGGAGAACUGAGGGGGGCUGCUCCUAGUACGAGAGGACCGGAGUGGACGCAUCACUGGUGUUCGGGUUGUCAUGCCAAUGGCACUGCCCGGUAGCUAAAUGCGGAAGAGAUAAGUGCUGAAAGCAUCUAAGCACGAAACUUGCCCCGAGAUGAGUUCUCCCUGACCCUUUAAGGGUCCUGAAGGAACGUUGAAGACGACGACGUUGAUAGGCCGGGUGUGUAAGCGCAGCGAUGCGUUGAGCUAACCGGUACUAAUGAACCGUGAGGCUUAACCUU